rnacentral:rRNA from 1 species
GAACGGCACGGACUUCGGGUCUGCGGGCGAGUGGCGAACGGGUGAGUAAUGUAUCGGAACGUGCUCAGUAGCGGGAUAACUACGCGAAAGCGUAGCUAAUACCGCAUACGCCCUUCGGGAGUGGGGGACCCGGGCCUCGCACUAUUAGACAACGACAUCGGAUUGUCGCAGCUGGUGGGGUAACGGCUCACCAAGGCGACGAUCCGUAGCUGGUUUGAGAGGACGACCAGCCACACUGGGACUGAGACACGGCCCAGACUCCUACGGAGGCAGCAGUGUAAUUUGACAAUGGGGGGAAACUCCCAGAUCCAGCUACUCCCGGGCGUGUGCGAUGAAGGCCUUCGCUGUAAAGCACUUUUGGCAGGAAAGAAACAGGCACGGGAUAAUACCCCGUGCAACUGACGGUACCUGCAGAAUAAGCACCGGCUAACUACGUGCCAGCAGCUGCGGUACGUAGGGUAAGCGUUAAUCGGAAUUACUGAAGUGCCGCGCAGGCGGGGUUCGAGCAAAGACGUGAAAUCCCAGAGCUUAACUUUGAACUGCAUUUUUAACUACCGAGCGAGAGUGUGUCAGAGGAGGUGGAAUCUAUGUAGCAGUGAAAUGCGUAGAUAUGCGGAGAAAACACCGAUGGCGAAGGCAGCUCUCCGGGAUAACACUGACGCUCGCGCACGAAAGCGUGGGGAGCAAACAGAUUAGAUACCCUGGUAGUCCACGCCCUAAACGAUGUCAACUAGCUGCUGGGGCUCUUCGGGCCUUGGUAGCGCAGCUAACGCGUGAAGUUGACCGCCUGGGGAGUACGGUCGCAAGAUUAAACUCAAAGGAAUUGACGGGACCCGCACAAGCGGUGGAUGAUGUGGACGCUCAAUUGAUACAACGCGAAAAACCUUACCUACCCUUGACAUGUCUGGAAUCCCGAAGAGAUUUGGAGAUAAUAGCAAGAGAACUGGAACACAGGUGCUGCAUGGCUGUCGUCAGCCUGUCGAGAUGCUGUCCCGCAACGAGCAACCCUUGUCAUUAGUUGCUACGAAAGGGCACCUAAUGAGACUGCCGGUGACAAACCGAGGAAGGUGGGGAUGACGUCACCGAGUCCCCGCGGCCCUUAUGGGUAGGGCUUCACACGUCAUACAAUGGUCGGGACAGAGGGUCGCCAACCCGCGAGGGGGAGCGCCAAUCCCAGAAAACCCGAUCGUAGUCCGGAUCGCAGUCUGCAACUCGACUGCGUGGAAGUCGGAAUCGCUAGUAAUCGCGGAUCAGCAUGUCGCGGUGAAUACGUUCUCGGUCUUGUACACCGCCCGGUCACACUACGGAGUGGGUUUUACCAGAAGUAGUUAGCCUAAUCCGUAAGGAGGGCGAUUACCACGGUAGGAUUCAUGACUGGGGUGAGGUCGUAACAAGGUAA